ensembl:lncRNA
UGUUGGUUUUUUUCCACCUUUAUUGAGAUAUAAUUGACAUAUAACAAGUGUAAGUUUAAGGUGUAUAAAACGUAGAUUUGCUACUUAUAUAUUGCAAAAUGAUUGCCACCUAUAGCAUCAGCUACUUUAAUCACCUUACAUAAUUACCAUUUCUUUUCUAUAGUGAGAACAUUUAAGAUCUACUCUCUUACCAACUUUCAAGUAUAAACAUUAUUGUUAACUACAGUCACCCUGCUGUACAUUAGAUCCCAGAACUUACUCAUUUUCUACCUGUAAAUUGGUACCCUUCGACUGACAUCUCCCCCACCCCCCAGCCCCUGGUAACCAUCAUUCUUCUGUUUCUAUGAGAGCAGCUUUUUACAUUCCACAUGUGGAGACACCACACGGUAUUUCUCUUUCUCUGAUUUAUUAAACAUAGCAUAAUGCCCUCAGUCUCCACCUGUGUCGGUGCAAAUGGCAGGAUUUUCUCCUUUCUCAUGUGACGAUCCUUAGCACUUUCGCUAGUAGCUCUGAGCCCUGUGGUGUGUUUUGUUUCCUUUUCGUUUUGUUCGAUUAUUUGCAUCAGAGCCCUAAAUAGCAUAGAAUGGACGUUUUCUAGGGGGCAGCACCUUUGAUUCCCCCUAGACCCGCCGGGCGCCAGCGUCGCUGGUUUUCCUGGAAGGGUCUCACAGUCCCAGCACUGCCGCUCUCACCGAGCUCCUGUUCCCGUUGGCACCUUCGUUUGUCCGCAGAGCCGGCGGGAUUCCUGCCACAGGACACAUUUGCAUCCAGGUAGCGGCAUUUUCUCGGUAGCCCACGUUCAAUCCUCCAAACAGGCUGGUUCUCAGAGCUGGGUGUUUCUCGGGCCGGCACCGCUCUGUGCUCCUUGCCCGCAUCGCUGGGACUCAGCAAGGUGAGGUGCUCGCUGUCAGCGUUUCCUCGGGCGCGGCUGGGAUACGAGCAGAGACGGCGGGUCCUCAGUGGCCUCAGACCGCUAGUGGAAGGAGCGGGCGGCUCUGGGUCGGGCCGGAUGUGUGAUUCGGCGGCCGCACCUCUCCUUUCUUUCCUUGAUCCAGGUGAUUUUCGGUCUCAUCCCAGAUGUUUUCGCCAAGAUUUCUCCCUGGUGCCCCGCUACCUCCGCCAGGUCACAGGCGUUUCAGAGGCAGCAGCGCUCCUGGCAGCGCGAUCGCCGCACUAGCAGCCGGAGUGGGAGUUGUCGCGUCCCGCUCUCUGCGCAGGAUCUGCGCUGUCUGGGUUCCGGCACCGCUUCCGUCUCCCAGAGCGCCAGCUGACGAUUCCUGUUCAGAUAUUUGCAGGGAGUCGCCGUGCGCGUUUGCAAUUUCCAUAGUAGCGGUAGAUGGCGCUUUUUCUGUCACAACACAUUUGCACCCAGUCGGUGGGCUUUUUUCUCCGUGGCAGCAACUUUCAUUCCUCCAAGCCCGAUGUCUCUAGGGCGCAGCACUGCUCCUCAGAGCCGGCAGUUUCUCUUUGACAGCACAGCUCAUCGCUCCAAAAGGAGUAUUUGUCUUUGGGAACAGCACCACUGUUUGCUCCCCGCCGGCAUCGCCACGUGCCAGCGCCGCGGGUGUCUCGGGUUUCUCUUCAGCAGCGUCGCUCCAGCGCAGCGCCCCAGCGGCCAGUGGCUGCGCCGUUUUGUUCUCCGAGGCCACAUUUGGUUUCGUGGUCUGUGCACCGCUCAGCGCUCCCUGAGUUUUGUAGGGUUGGUUCUCUGCACGGUUUGCUUUUUGUUCCGUUUCAUUGCGUUUGCUUUCGUCUCGAUAUGUCUUUAUAUCGGAAUGACUUGUGUCGGUUCUCUAUGUUCUCUAAAUUUUUUUCGUAUUUCAUUGUCUACUGAUCUCCGUUUUGCAUUCGCUGCCUUCCCUCCGCCCACGAGCCCUGGAGAGCAUAAAUACCCGGAGUGCUGGUGCUGAAGCCUUUGCCUCCUUGAUCAGAGCAAACGCCUGUGUCCUGGUCCGAGGCCUAAGCGAUGGAGCAGCAUUUUCUCGCCGCCGUGAAGGAGGCUCGGGAUUCCGCAGAGGCGGUGCCAGAGCCUCAGCCUCCGUCCUCUCGGAGCUUCGAAGAUUCUGGGCCGUGGCCGCUCCCUCUACCCGGUACUGGAAGAGUGCUUAUGCCCUGGCGGUGAUUUCCAUUGGGAACUGCUUUCUAGUCCUAGCCGGCGGCUGUCCAGGGUUGGCCUGCAAAACGGACUCUUGCCCAGAUCCGAGGGCACAUUGGAACCAAGCCCAGCCCCGCCCACUCCGGACCUCUGGCCCGCCACACAGAAGACGUUAGAGUCAAUCGUAGGGGAGUUGGUUCCUGCAGAGGAACCCGACAGACUCACGUUCCAGUCGCUUCCCUGGGCCAGGCUGCAAGAUGCCGCCCACAGACAGCAGGACACAGAGACCUGUGACAGCGAGCCCCUUCGGAUCGUAGUCGACCUCCGGUCCCCGCUUGGUGGAGCCAACACCGGGUUUUCUCAGCAUGCUUGGCGUGGAUUCCUUGCGCGGUGUUCUCCAUGCCCUGGGGUUGCUGCCGGUGGGUCUUUGGCGCUGAGGAGCCCUGAGAUGCAGCGGGAGUCUUUUUGAAACUUUCCCCAGGAAAAGAUUCUCCGUUCCAAAACCUUCCCACUUACAGAAUUUAAAAAAUGCCUUAAGGGGGCUGGCCCCGUGACCGAGUGGUUAAGUUCGCGCGCUCCGCUGCAGGCGGCCCAGUGCUUCGUUGGUUGGAAUCCUGGGCGCGGACAUGGCACUGCUCAUCAAACCACGCUGAGGCAGCGUCCCACAUGCCACAACUAGAAGGACUCACAACGAAGAAUACACAACUAUGUACCGGGGGGCUUUGGGGAGAAAAAGGAAAAAAUAAAAUCUUUUAAAAAAAUGCAUUAAGAUGUGUCUUCGGUGUGCAUUGCAAAUUUUUCUCUUUCUCCUGCAGUUUCUCCUUGCAGUGUGCGGUCGCUUGUUACUUGCAGUUUCCUUGUUUGCCCAUGAGCCCAGGAAAUCAAAAACUAUCCGCUAUUUUCGCCCAGCCUGUAAUUCGUCGAUGGUAGUCCCGCUAGUUUUAUGUAGCCGGAUGUUUCUGGGUGGCAGCACGGCUAAGGUUGCUUCCCGUGGGCGCUUGCUGGAUCCCAGCACUGUGAGCUCUCUGGGACAAAGUUUUGUGAUUGCGUCUCUGAUUGGCGCUCCACACAUGGGGGCGGGGGAGGGGGGUUUUCUCCAUCUACCAGCAAGUGUUUCCCAAGGACUACCUAUCCUUUGGCCGAAAGGGAUGUAUCUUGGUCGGUCGCACAGCCGGCGUUGGCGCUUUCCCGCCGACCGCCCUGCCACUUGAGCCGUGUCAGUCGUCAGUCGUUUUCCGUGGCACCCGCGUCAGCUGCACGGAAACCACCGGUUUCUCAUCAUCUUCCUUAUUAGUGCGGGCAAUAGAAGUAAAAUCUACAGCUAAGAGAAGAUUCACAGAAAGGAAUUCCAAGGAGUAGAGAAAACUGUAGUGUCCACAUUCACAUCCCAUCCAGCAGGUAUCAAAGGUGUACCUCUAUGAAGCCAAAUGACGUAGAGUCCCAUAAAUAAAUUUUAGGAUGUUUAGCAAGCACCUGUUAAGAAGGUGAGGUUAACAUUUCACGCCUUGACUGGAUGCCUCCUGCUCAUCAGAAAUGGGUCCACCUACCUCAGAAUGGCCACCGGAGUGAGGCACCUCAAGAGAGAGUCCAGGAAAACCUGAUAUGUUUCCCAAGACCUUUGGAGAUCACUGACCCUGAUGCCUACUUUUUGCCCAGAGAAGUGUCAAGGCUAAAGGAUGGCCAAAACUGCCUCUGUCAACAGGGCAGACAGUGCAGCAAUGAAACCAAAGGAAAUCUCUACCCUUUGAUGGUGCAAGGAGAUUGCCUUUCACACUGUGAAAAAAUGUAAAGAAAAAUAAAGAUG